rnacentral:precursor_RNA from 9 species
GGCACCACGCCGAUCUUACACCUAUUGCUCCUGAAUGAAGAUCUCCGCCAAUCUUGGUGUUGACGGUCGGUGGGAUUUUCGUUCGGUCGCGAUACGGUGGAAGAAACAACGUGCACAA